rnacentral:rRNA from 1 species
AGUGAACGCUGGCGGUAGGCCUAAAACAUGCAAGUCGAACGGCAGCACAGUAAGAGCUUGCUCUUCCGGGUGGCGAGUGGCGGACGGGUGAGGAAUACAUCGGAAUCUACUUUUUCGUGGGGGAUAACGUAGGGAAACUUACCCUAAUACCGCUUACGACCUACGGUUGAAAGCAGGGGAUCUUCGGACCUUGCGCGAUUGAUUGAGCCGAUGUCGGAUUAGCUAGUUGGCGGGGUAAAGGCCCACCAAGGCGACGAUCCGUAGCUGGUCUGAGAGGAUGAUCAGCCACACUGGAACUGAGACACGGUCCAGACUCCUACGGGAGGCAGCAGUGGGGAAUAUUGGACAAUGGGCGCAAGCCUGAUCCAGCCAUACCGCGUGGGUGAAGAAGGCCUUCGGGUUGUAAAGCCCUUUUGUUGGGAAAGAAAAGCAGCAGGUUAAUACCCCGCUGUUCUGACGGUACCCAAAGAAUAAGCACCGGCUAACUUCGUG